CUUUUCAGUGACCCGUCGAGUCCAUAACUCGCGCACACUGCAGUAACCAGAUAACGAAGAACAGUGAAAUGGUUCUUCUUCUGCACCUUCCAAGGUUCCCUCUCUACUUGAUUACUUCAUCUCAAUCCCUUCCUCUCCGAGCCCUCUCAACUUCCUCCAAAACCACCCUCUUACGCCCACCCAAAGCCACGCUCACCACCUCAGAACCCGUGACCGUAACAAACCCUUCCGCAACAGAACUAUCCCUCGAGAAGCUCUUCGUUCCGCCGGAGACGAACGUGUCUCUCGACACCGCGAGAGUGUUGAACGGUUCCAACAUUCUUCUCAGCAACUACGCCAACGACGCUCUGAUAUCGCAGGCCGAAUUCGUGAAAAGCAGUGUGAAAACCGAAGACUGCCCCUCCGAUGGCCUCCCUGAAUUUGCUCUCGUUGGCCGCUCCAAUGUCGGAAAAUCCUCCCUCCUCAACUCUCUCGUGCGCCGCAAGAAGCUCGCCUUAACCUCCAAGAAACCUGGCAAAACGCAAUGCAUUAACCAUUUUCGGAUUAAUGAUAGCUGGUACCUGGUUGAUUUGCCUGGAUAUGGGUAUGCAUCUGCACCGCAUGAACUUAGAAUGGACUGGGGAAAAUUCACCAAGGACUAUUUCCUUAACCGAUCAACAUUAGUUUCAGUAUUCCUUCUAAUAGAUGCUAGCAUUCCUGCUAAACAAAUCGAUCUUGACUAUGCCAGUUGGUUGGGUCAGAAUCAGAUACCAAUGACAAUAAUCUUUACCAAAUGUGACAAGCGGAAGAAGAAAAAAAAUGGAGGCAAAAGACCAGAGGAAAAUGUUGAUGAUUUUCAGGACUUGAUUCGUGGUUUCUUCCAAUCAGUGCCUCCAUGGAUCAUGACCAGCAGUGUCACCCAUCAGGGUCGUGAUGAAAUACUUCUUCAUAUGGCGCAGCUACGGAACUAUUGGCUUAAGCACUAAUUCUGAGAAAUAUGGCUUCAUGAGAACUAGUACGUCAAUCUUGAAUAUAGUGAAUUGCUUAAUGAUACGCGUUUCCAGAUAGACUUGCUCGAUUGUUUACCCCAUAAUAUCAUUUUAUCUAUAUAUUCCAUGGUGUGCUUUCUGUGUUGUCUACACAACCUACAAGGCCUAAAGCUAUUGACAUGAAAGCUGGAUAAAGAAAACCAUCUAGAACAAAGCUCGAUGUUGUUCAACACCAUGCCCGCUUGAGGUUCUACUCCCAGUCAACUUGUAUGAUUGUUCUAACGAACUUUCUUUAUUUUUUACAAAUGGUUAUUAUUUAUUACCUUAAAAAUGCAAAUGAUAUUUUCAUUCAAAUACUUGGAUGCUUCCAAAGUUCUCGUCUCAUUGAUAUUAAAGAUCCUAAAUAAAAUAAUUUGCCUGCCCCCCCACAUAACACUUCAUGGAAAACGAUAACUUUCCAUGAAUACUCAGCAUGCCCACUGCAUUUUUUUUUCUCGUGGCCGGAGACGAGCUGAAGAAUAAAAGUAUAUGCAAGGAUGCAGCUGGUAAACAGCAUCCACAUAGAAACUUGUAACAUUUUUCUUUUUGUAUGACAGUGAGACGAAUGAGAUGUCUAUCAGAUGUCAUUUUCAAUUUCUGUUGUUUAUCAAAUUUAUCAAUUAUCCGUUAUGCUCUUGCUGUCUAUAUUUCAGUGACCCAAAACAGCAUAUAACUAAUAACCAGAUAACUCAAUCAUGCUGAACAACAGUGACGCAAAACUGCACUGGACUCAAAAGGGUGUCUUUGGCCAAGUAACGUUCGAAAACGAUGUGUAGU